UGCAGCCUGUCGUUGCUCUGCAGCGUCUCCGUCUCCUCUGAGGGGAAGUUGAGUCACUCGAGUGGAGAAAAUUUCAACUUUCAUUUCUGCUUUUGUGUUUCUUCACUUCUGCCCCAAACCCAGCCUGACUCUGGUUGCAUAAGGAGAAAAUCAGAAAGUAACAAACUCCAGGGCGGAGCACAAACGAACACACCGCAACAAUAACCACUGAUUUCUCUGUGAGCGCAGAACUUUUGUUUCUGCAGCAGCAUCCGCUCAGUGUUUAAGAUUCUCACAGAUAAACAGAAACAGGUGUUGAUUUCAAAAUGUUAAAAUCCUCCUCUUCUCUUAGGUCUAUCUCAGAUCAUCAUCUGACCAAUCAGCAUAGGCGGUUUGUCCUCGGAGCAGAGACACAGGACGUGGUUGGAGGGGAGGAGCCGAGCCAACAGGAAGACAGGAGGAAACCUUAUAAGUCUGCUGUUGUUUCCAGGCGGCUCUGUGCUGCCACCUGGUGGUGAAACAUCUCACACUCUGUGGCAGGUUUCCAGAGCAGCUGACAGUGCCAACACAUCGAGUAUGACUGACUCUGAGCCAAACCCUGCUGACCCAGGCUGUGAUCUGCUCCUCCGCUAGAAGAACCAGAGGGAGGUGACGGGACCAGUGUCCAGUGUCCACACACUCCUGCAUGUGGAGCUGUGGACUGUGUAAUUUUUUGCCCCGGGGGUUUCGUGCUCCUGCCCUCCGGAUAGGCUGACUCGUUCCUCCAGACCAUCCAUUCUAACAUCAACCCUUGACAAAGUAUCAACAGACAGCAAUCAGAAUCAGAAUCAGAAAUACUUUAUUGAUCCCGAGGGGAAAUUGUUGUGUUACAGGUGCUCCUUGCAAGAGA